GAUAGUUCAGUUGGUAGAGCCUGAGACUCUUAAUCUUAAGGUGAAGGGUUCAAGUCUCACGCUGGGCCA